AGAGACACAAAAGUCAGGAAGUGACCCUUUCGUGGGGACUGCAGAGGCCACAGAGGAGAAACAAAGUCCCCUCACAACUGGGAAGACGGACCGUACCAUCCUAGGGGGCCGGAGUAGGGAAGAGGGCGUUGGAAAAUGAUAUCCUCGCUCUCAAGGAGCCGGCGAGGACACGGGAUUUCCCGGCUGAAAAGCCCCAGUGUCUGCCUGUCCUGGCCGAGCCUCUCCCCUGCCGUGGAGGCCUGGGUACCGCAGCCCGGGGGCGCCCUGCAUCACCACUCUGUGAGCGGGCGGGGCCCUGCUCCCCAGCCUGGGGAUGGAUGGCGUGCCCUAGCCAGCCCAUCUGCGGCCACGGCUGGUCCGGGAGGAAGCCGUCCCCGGGGAUGAAUGGGGCUUUGUUCGCUGCCAGCCGCGCUCCCCUCGCGGCCCGGCCAGGCACAACGGAGGCAGUAUGCGACAGGCAUGGAAAUGAGCCGCGGGCUCUCCCCUCGCAGCGCCCAGGAAUGCUGGCCAGCCGGAAAGGAGCCCUCGCCGGGGACCCGCUCCCGCGCCUCUGAAACCCCAUUGAGAAGGGCUCUUUGAAGCAAUUAAAGCGUGUUUCACGGCGGCCUGGGAGGGGCCCGGGUCGGCCAGCUUCUCUUUUACCCUCCUUCUCUGUCCUACCCUGUUUGUGCACCUUGGUGUGGCGGGUUACCUAGAGACCAGGCCAGAACCAGCUCCCUCUCAUGCAGAGAUUCUGUAAACUCACAAAAGCGUCCCCAUAAACAGAUUGCUUGUCACCAGGGGGUGGGGGUGUGUGUGGCGGGGUGGAACCCAGUUUGGACCUGAUCCAAGCUGACCUGCAGAGCCUGGGUUCCUGCUUUCAAAGGCCUCUUUGCUGGGCCCUACACCCACCUGCCCUUGCUGUCAGGUCUGGGCGGGAGGAGAAAUCGCCUCUGGACAAGGAAGUCCUGAGGCUGCGGCUCAGCAUUUUCCAUUUUCUCAGCGGCGGGGUGGGCUGUGUUCAGGUCUAGAAGUGAUGUCACAGCCAGCCCUGUGAGUGAUGUAACCUGCACAUGUUGAAGGACUAGGACCGGGCGGCUAUUUUGAGACUCUUGAGUUCCUUCCUUCCUCCCUGGAGACAAGUGGAUGACUGUGGAGAACUCACAAAGCUGCUCUGGGUACAGAGGUUUUCGUCUGUUCCAGUGAAAAAUCCUAAGGCCGGAGAACUGACGCCAUAAAAGCGGGCGUGCUUGUGAAAUUCUUUCUAAAUUGGAGGUGGGCACAUGGGGCAAGUGUGUGGAUUGGAGCCCCCCAGUAACAUCCAUGUAAAAAGGUUUCACUGAGUUCUCUGGUUGACUUUAUACCCUUUUUCCUUGAGACUGUUAAAGUGUGCUUCUCCUCCAGCAGGUGCUUCCUGGAGAACAUGAUCUUUUGUUGUAUCUUUGUUGUAUGUUUUGAGACAGGGUCUUGAGUUCCCUCCGUAGUCAAAGAUGAUGUUCUAUUCCAGAUCCGACUGCCUCCGCCUCCCAAGUGCUGGACUUCCAGGCAUGUGCUGCCUUGACUGUCAGGAUCUCGGGAUCCCUGAGCCUUGUAAUUUGACUAUUAGCCUGAAAAAUGACCAGAAGACCUCUCCUUUAUUUACCAGCUGACCCAUGACCUUAAUGAGGCGUCUCUAGAGGAAGCUCCAAGUGGACCAGGGAUCGCUUCUGCAGUCAACAUCUACAGUAGUUGAUGACGACAGGACAUAUUAUCCAGGGCCCUGAAUAAAUGAAGCUAAGCAUUGGAUCUAGUUGCCGACAAGACACUUGUCUUUGCAACCUCUUCCCGUGCCUCUAUGCUGUCCCAGGUUUCCAUCUUCAAGAUUACCAGGGGCCCAAUGACUAGAACUAAUAUCUUACCUUUGAUGGAAAAAGAAUGGAGAGGGGGUAGAAGAGAGGUGGAGCA